UCCGUAGGCGGGCAAUUAAGUCAGAGGUGAAAUCCCACAGCUCAACUGUGGAACUGCCUUUGAUACUGGUUGUCUUGAGUUAUAGUGAAGUAGAUAGAAUAUGUAGUGUAGCGGUGAAAUGCAUAGAUAUUACAUAGAAUACCGAUUGCGAAGGCAGUCUACUAACUGUAUACUGACGCUGAGGCACGAAAGCGUGGGGAGCGAACAGGAUUAGAUACCCUGGUAGUC
rnacentral:rRNA from 1 species